GGAAAAAAGUCACUGCUAAGGACCUUAUCAGGGUAUUCCUUCCAACCGCCAAAUGAAUGAUACAGAAGCAUCACUAGUAGCCAUGGUUAAUGGUCUAUCGAUUCUAUCCCCCCAACAAUGAAGAGAUGUUCAUUAAUUGUAGUUUGUUUUGUCAAUAUCGUUAUGUUUUGUAAGAGAGAUAUCUAGGAAUCAUGGAAGACUGAUUUUCUAAUGAAUAUCAUUCAUUGGUGAUCUUCAUUAUCUGAGUAGUUCCUUAUUGCUUAGUGAUUGUUAAGUAAUUUUAGUGAAGAUAAUGUUGAAUCUUAAGAAAGCAUUCUAUCUACAUCAUGAGCAUCUGGUAU